AGAGUUUGAUCAUGGCUCAGAACGAACGCUGGCGGCGUGGCUAAGACAUGCAAGUCGAACGGACCGCAGUAGCAAUAUUGCGGUUAGUGGCGAAAGGGUGAGUAAUGCAUGGGUAACGUACCCUGGACUCGGGGAUAACAGCGGGAGCAAUCCCUUUAGCGAAAGUGCUGCUAAUACCCGAUGACGUCACCGGAUCGCAUGAUUGGGUGACCAAAGGUGGGGACCGCAAGGCCUGCCGGUUUAGGAGCGGCCCAUGUCCUAUCAGCUAGUUGGUGAGGUAACGGCCCACCAAGGCAACGACGGGUAGCGGGACUGAGAGGUUGGCCCGCCACAUCGGGACUGAGACACUGCCCGGACACCUACGGGUGGCUGCAGUAACGAAUAUUGGGCAAUGGGCGAAAGCCUGACCCAGCGACGCCGCGUGCAGGAGGAAGCCCUUCGGGGUGUAAACUGCUGUCAGGGUUCAGCAAGCAAAGGGCGUGAAUAGCGCCCGGCGUUGAGCAGACCCAGAGGAAGCCUCGACUAACUCUGUGCCAGCAGUCGCGGUAAGACAGAGGAGGCAAGCGUUGUUCGGAAUCACUGGGCUUAAAGCGCGUGUAGGCGGCUCGGAAAGUGUCGUGUGAAAUCCCAUGGCUCAACCAUGGAACGGCGCGGCAAACUACCGGGCUUGAGGUCGGUAGAGGUGCCUGGAAUUCUCGGUGGAGCGGUGAAAUGCGUAGAUAUCGAGAGGAACGCCUGAGGCGAAAGCGGGGCACUGGGCCGAUUCUGACGCUGAGACGCGAAAGCGUGGGGAGCAAACAGGAUUAGAUACCCUGGUAGUCCACGCCGUAAACGAUGCACACUAGACGUCGGAGGUUCUGACAUCGUCGGCGUCGUAGCAAAAGUGCUAAGUGUGCCGCCUGGGGAGUACGGCCGCAAGGCUAAAACUCAAAUGAAUUGACGG
rnacentral:rRNA from 1 species